UAGAUCGUACUUUUAGGGAUCAGUCCUAUAGUAUGUAUCACAAGGACGUCAAACAAAAUUAACCCUGGCCAACCAACCACGAUAAUCAAAAAAUUAUUGGUCAGAGGGGG
rnacentral:snoRNA from 1 species